rnacentral:rRNA from 1 species
GACGAACGCUGGCGGCGUGCCUAAUACAUGCAAGUCGAACGCUGAAGGAGGAGCUUGCUUCUCUGGAUGAGUUGCGAACGGGUGAGUAACGCGUAGGUAACCUGCCUGGUAGCGGGGGAUAACUAUUGGAAACGAUAGCUAAUACCGCAUAAGAGUAGAUGUUGCAUGACAUUUGCUUAAAAGGUGCAAUUGCAUCACUACCAGAUGGACCUGCGUUGUAUUAGCUAGUUGGUGGGGUAAAGGCUCACCAAGGCGACGAUACAUAGCCGACCUGAGAGGGGGAUCGGCCACCCUGGGACUGGGACACGGCCCAGGAUCCUACGGGAGGCAGCAGUAGGGAAUCUUCGGCAAUGGACGGAAGGCUGACCGAGCAACGCCGCGUGAGGGAAGAAGGGUUUCGGAUCGGAAAGAUCGGUUGUAAGAGAAGAACGAGUGUGGGAGUGGAAAGUUCACACUGUGACGGUAUCUAACCAGAAAGGGACGGCUAACUACGUG